CUAGCCGCCAACCCUUUUCGUGCCCACUCCGCCUCAUUCUCCUCCCCGCUCGCUCCUAUCCUCCCCCAUGCCGCCGCCCCCUUCCCCCCGCUCGCCUCUGCCGCCUCCUCUCCUUCCCCGCACGUCCGGCCUACCCCCUCCUCCCUCCUCCUCCAUCCUCCCUCAUUCGUCAUCACGGCAGACCAUCUCCCGUCACUUGGGCCCCAUGCUGGCGGCCGGGUCGGGGUGGAGGCGCAGCAGGGCUGCAGGGGCCCUACGUGUACUACCUCUACAGCCAGUACGGGUUCGACAAGGGCGACAUCGGCCGCCUCUUCAUCGCCGGCUUUGGCUCCUCCAUGCUCUUCGGCACCAUCGUCGGGUCGCUCGCCGACAAGCAGUGCGUGGGGAAGGAAGAGGGCGUGCAUCACCUACAUCCUCAGCUGCAUCACGAAGCACUCGCCGCAGUACAGGAUUCUGAUGAUAGGCCGUGUGCUUGGAGGCAUUGCAACAUCGCUGCUCUUCUCGGCAUUCGAGUCGUGGCUCGUGGCGGAGCACAACAAGGGAGAGUUGACUGAUGUACAUGAGACCCAGGCGAAAAUGAGUGUGCUAGCGGAGGCUCCAGGGAUGCAGGGUGAUAGGGCCCAGUCUAUGCUCCGGUUGUGUUGUUGGGGAAGCUUCGGACGGGAUUUAGAUAAGGAAAAGGAGUCCCGUGCGAAAUCGAGCGUCCUGGUGUUGGGACUGAUGAUCCGCACUUGUUGUCUAAAUGCAGAACAUGCGCAUUGCAGUGCUUUCUAUCAGUACCGACGACCACAAAUGGGAUGGAUCGAGCAACCAAGACUCAGAGUGUGGUUGACAGUGCGGCCUGCUCCCAACCCUGCAGGUGCCUUACUGUACCAUGCCGUCUCCUGCGUGCCAUGCCCAUCAAACCCAACCAUCAUAUGA
rnacentral:rRNA from 1 species